rnacentral:lncRNA from 1 species
CUAUGGGGCUGGUGUGGGGUUGAUCCCCCAUCCAUGGGGCAGGGGCGGUGCUAGAUCCCACCCCCAGUAUUCCUGAUGUUCCUGCCACUGGGGAGCAUUCCCAGUAUUCCCAGUACUGGGGAGUAUUCCCAGCAUUCCGGAGCAUUCCCCGGUAUUCCUGGCACUGGGAAGCCUUCCCAGUGGUGGGGAUCAUUCCCAGUAUUCCCAGCAUCCGAUGUUCUGGAUCGUUCCUGGUAUUCCCAAGACCUUGGGAAGCAUUCCCAAUGUUCCCAGUAUUCCCAGCGUUUGGGGAGAGCUUUCCCAGUAUCCGAUGUUCUGGAUCAUUCCCAGCAUUCCCAGUAUCCAAUGUUCUGGAUCAUUCCCAGUGUUCCCAGUAUUCCCAGCGUUUGGGGAGAGCUUUCCCAGUAUCCGAUGUUCUGGAUCAUUCCCAGUAUUCCCAGUAUUCCCAAGGCCUUAUGAAGCAUUCCCAGCGUUCCCAGUAUUCCGGGAGAGCUUUCCCAGUAUCCGAUGUUCUGGAUUGUUCCCAGUGUUCCCAGUAUUCCCAGCAUUUGGGGAGAGCUUUCCCAGUGUCCGAUGUUCUGGAGCAUUCCCAGUGUUCCCAGUAUUCCAAGCAUUUGGGGAGAGCUUUCCCAGUAUCCGAUGUCCUCGUUGGGAAUCGUUCCCAGUGUUCCCAGUAGUGGGGAGCAUUCCCAGUAUGCCUGGUGUUCUGGAGCGUUCCUGGGGUUCCCGAUGUUGGGGAGCAUUCCCAGUAUUCCCAGUCUCGGGGAGCAAUCCCAGCAUUCCGGAGCAUUCCUGAUGUUCUGGAGCAUUCCUGGGGCUUCCCAGUAUUCCCAGUAUCCCCAGCACUGGGGAGCAUUCCCAGUAUUCCCAACAUUCCCAUCUGCCAAAUCCAGCUCCGGCUCCGUUCCGGGAUGAGCCAAUUCCGGGUGGAUUUACCCCAAAAUU